rnacentral:rRNA from 1 species
CGGCGUCGAGCGGCGGACGGGUGAGUAAUGCCUAGGAAAUUGCCCUGGUGUGGGGGAUAACCAUUGGAAACGAUGGCUAAUACCGCAUAAUACCUACGGGUCAAAGAGGGGGACCUUCGGGCCUCUCGCGUCAGGAUAUGCCUAGGUGGGAUUAGCUAGUUGGUGAGGUAAUGGCUCACCAAGGCGACGAUCCCUAGCUGGUCUGAGAGGAUGAUCAGCCACACUGGAACUGAGACACGGUCCAGACUCCUACGGGAGGCAGCAGUGGGGAAUAUUGCACAAUGGGCGCAAGCCUGAUGCAGCCAUGCCGCGUGUGUGAAGAAGGCCUUCGGGUUGUAAAGCACUUUCAGUCGUGAGGAAGGUAGUGUAGUUAAUAGCUGCAUUAUUUGACGUUAGCGACAGAAGAAGCACCGGCUAACUCCGUGCCAGCAGCCGCGGUAAUACGGAGGGUGCGAGCGUUAAUCGGAAUUACUGGGCGUAAAGCGCAUGCAGGUGGUUUGUUAAGUCAGAUGUGAAAGCCCGGGGCUCAACCUCGGAAUAGCAUUUGAAACUGGCAGACUAGAGUACUGUAGAGGGGGGUAGAAUUUCAGGUGUAGCGGUGAAAUGCGUAGAGAUCUGAAGGAAUACCGGUGGCGAAGGCGGCCCCCUGGACAGAUACUGACACUCAGAUGCGAAAGCGUGGGGAGCAAACAGGAUUAGAUACCCUGGUAGUCCACGCCGUAAACGAUGUCUACUUGGAGGUUGUGGCCUUGAGCCGUGGCUUUCGGAGCUAACGCGUUAAGUAGACCGCCUGGGGGAGUACGGUCGCAAGAUUAAAACUCAAAUGAAUUGACGGGGGCCCGCACAAGCGGUGGAGCAUGUGGUUUAAUUCGAUGCAACGCGAAGAACCUUACCUACUCUUGACAUCCAGAGAACUUUCCAGAGAUGGAUUGGUGCCUUCGGGAACUCUGAGACAGGUGCUGCAUGGCUGUCGUCAGCUCGUGUUGUGAAAUGUUGGGUUAAGUCCC